rnacentral:rRNA from 1 species
UACGUAGGGGGCAAGCGUUGUCCGGAUUUAUUGGGCGUAAAGAGCGUGUAGGCGGCCUGUUGCGUCCGCUGUGAAAUCCCGGGGCUUAACCCCGGGCGUGCAGUGGAUACGGGCAGGCUGGAGGCAGGCAGGGGAGAACGGAAUUCCCGGUGUAGCGGUGAAAUGCGCAGAUAUCGGGAGGAACACCGGUGGCGAAGGCGGUUCUCUGGGCCUGUACUGACGCUGAGGAGCGAAAGCGUGGGGAGCAAACAGG